GUGUCUGUAAUCUGAUAUUUAAAUUUUAGUUUGCAUAAACUACAGUCUCCAUCGUCAGUGAGGGCUAAUUACAAUAAAUAGGACACCCUGGAAAACUGUGCGUGGUAUAUUAUAUUCACAAAGGAAGAAUCGGGCACAACUGACCAUUAAAAUGGCAGCCAGUGAAUAUGAAGCUCGUCUGUCAGGUUGUUUAAACGGUGCUGCAACAUGUUUAGCUUUAUCUAUAGCCCGAGAAUCUGGAUUAUUAAAAGUGUUUAUGGAGCCACAUCAACCUAUGAUAAUUCCACAGAUAGCUUCUAAAACUAAUCUUAAAGAACGGUAUAUAAAAGAGUUAUUGGGUUGUCUAGUUGCAUCGAGUAUAAUAGAAAUUGAUGAAGCAUCGAUCAAAUAUUUUUUACCAGAUGAACUUAGAUCAACUCUGGUCCGCGUGAUGAUGUUUCAAGAGUUGAUGGAUUUUGCUAUACAACGUAAAGAAGAUGUUAAAACCUGUUUGAAAAUGGAUUGACCAAAGGACAAAGAUAUGGGCAGUCCAUCGAAUGGUGCAAAGGGGUUGGUCAAGGUUCUGAAAGAUGAUGGAGUCCUUUUGCUUGCUGAAGUAGUAAUCAAGGGAGAUAACCACCGCGAGAAUAAAGAGGAUCCCAUGGCAAUACAAUGUUUCAUAUUCAGUACUACCGUGUGUGUUCCAGAAAGUUUGUGUCAGCGGGAUGGAAUAGGACUGGGUUGUACGUCUGGGUUGAAAAAUUUGAAAGGCAUAAUUGAACAAGCCGGAAUACCGAGUACUAAUAUAGAAAUUUAUCCACGUAAAAGUGCAAGCUUUCAAUAUCUAUUUGUUUGUCGAAAACAAUAAAAUAAAGUUAAAAGAAAACCUUUGUAACACUAUUAUAGUAAUAACAGAGAUACGAUUUAUUUACAUCAGGAACAUAAACAUAAAACAACUACAUAAAUACAACAGGAACAUAAAUUAAACAGGAACUAAACUACAUUAGGAACAUAAACAAUAACAUUAACAUGGUACAUUAAGACAACUAUUCCACUCCUCUGCCACGGCAGCUGCUGAACUCGGGUGAGUCCAUUCGCCGGUUUCUAUUCCUGUUUUCCUCACGCCUCACCGUCUUCCCUCGUCUCUGUCUGUGUCUCUGUCAGCAAACUGAUGGUUGUAUACCUUUCAACUGGUCCUACACACACAUUAUCAUAACUAUAUUUGGAGUUUACAAGGUUCUUUUUAAUUUCGCUGACAGGUAUAAUUAUAUACAGCUCCCAUCUACAUUGUCCAUUGAUAAUCUUUAAUUACCAUACAGUGCUGUACGUGUUUAGAACAAAGUGUAUAGUUGAAAAGCCAAUAUCAUAUACUAAUGUCCAAAAGAAAGUAUACACUGUGCAUUUUGUGCUGCAUCAACCGUUUUUCCAUGGUAUACGGUAUUUGGGUAGAAUGUCAAUUUGUUUCACAUUUUUAUUUCGUUUAGAAAUGUUGAGUUUGGACGCAAGAGACAAACUCAGUAAUGCUUUAUCAAAUGUUUUUAAUCUAAACAAAACUUAGUCAUACUUUUAGUGUGUAUACUUUCUUUUGAACAUCAGUAUAUAUUAUCAAAACUAGCUGGGUCAAUACGUUCACUGCAUCUAAAUAAUGGUCUUUAUUUUAUACCAUAGACAAUUUUAUAAAAGUUAUUGGGCGCUUUGUACAGGGUAUUGUAUGAAUAAAAUUCUCUUAAAUUAAA